ACCAACAAAGCCCUCCUCUUUCUUUAACCUCUGAAACCCAAAACCCACCACCACCAAACCACCAUGGCAAUGGCAACCUCACCUCACUCCCUCCUCCUCCAAAACCCACAUCCCACUUUCCUCAAAACCCCAACUACCCUUCACCACCCUCCCCAUCACCUCCACCCGCCUCCCAACCACCACCGCCGCAAAGCCCAUCUCCAUCAAAUGCGCCGCCGCCACCACCCCAAUCCAAGAUCUCCGCCCCAACAACCCUUCGGAGUCCCAAGAUCGCGUCUUCAACUUCGCCGCCGGCCCCGCCAACCUCCCGGAGAACGUCCUCAGGAAGGCGCAGUCGGAGCUCUACAACUGGCGCGGAUCUGGCAUGUCCGUCAUGGAAAUGAGCCACCGCGGCAAAGAAUUCUCCUCCAUAAUACAAAAGGCCGAGUCUGAUCUCCGAACGCUCCUCAACAUCCCGCCGGAAUAUUCCGUCCUCUUCCUCCAAGGCGGCGCCACCACCCAGUUCGCCGCGAUCCCAUUAAACCUCUGCAACCCCGACGACAAAGUCGACUACUUGGUCACCGGGUCGUGGGGCGAUAAGGCCGUCAAGGAGGCCCAGAAGUACUGCAAACCCAAGGUAAUCUGGUCCGGUAAAUCGGAGAAGUACACAAAGAUUCCUGCAUUUGAUGAGUUAGAACAGAGCCCAGAUGCUAAGUAUUUGCAUAUAUGCGCUAAUGAGACCAUUCAUGGUGUCGAGUUCAAGACCUACCCAACUCCCAAGAAUGGGCUCUUGAUUGCUGAUAUGUCUUCUAAUUUCUGCUCGAAGCCUGUGGACGUUUCGAAAUUCGGGAUCAUAUACGCCGGGGCGCAGAAAAAUGUAGGCCCGUCAGGGGUUACGAUUGUGAUAAUUAGGAAGGAUCUGAUUGGAAAUGCUCAGGAGAUUACUCCAGUAAUGCUGGAUUACAAGAUUCAUGAUGAGAACAAUUCGCUGUAUAAUACUCCUCCUUGCUAUGGGAUUUACAUGUGCGGGCUUGUGUUUGAGGAUUUGCUAGAGCAGGGAGGCUUGCCCGGGAUUGAGAAGAAGAACAAGAAGAAGGCGGAUCUGUUGUACAAUGCCAUUGAUGGGAGCAAUGGGUUUUACAGGUGCCCGGUGGAGAAGUCGGUGAGGUCGUUGAUGAAUGUGCCGUUUACGCUGGAGAAAUCGGAGUUGGAAGCCGAGUUUAUCAAGGAGGCGGCAAAGGAGAAGAUGGUGCAGCUCAAGGGGCAUAGGUCAGUGGGAGGAAUGAGGGCUUCGAUUUACAAUGCUAUGCCUUUGGCUGGGGUGGAGAAGUUGGUUGCUUUCAUGAAGGAGUUUCAGGCUAGGCAUGCUUGAUUUAGCUAUCCUCCAACAUAUGCUCAUCUAUGCUUUCCUUUUCCUCUCUUGCCAUUGUUAGCACAUCCUUUGUUUUCUUCUGUUUUGUAUUCUUUUGGCCUUCUUGUUUGCUCUUUAUGAUUAUGUAAGGUGCAUUUUUGGAUGCAUGUUAUGAAAUACUUGUCUUGGGAUGAAGCUCAUGUCCUAUAAGUUUAGGGGGUUUAGGCUAAUUUGCUACGUAAUUCUUGUUGUCAUAAGAUGAGAGUAAUGAAUAACUCAGAUUUUUCAGGUG